rnacentral:tRNA from 1 species
GGGCCGGUCGUCUAGUCUGGUAGGAUACGGCGCGUGCGUCCAAUCCCUUGGCAAAGAAAUCCAGACUGGGAGAGGUCGGGGGUUCGAAUCCCCCCCGGUCCA